GUGUCAGCCGCCGCGGUAAUACGGAGGGUGCAAACGUUGCUCGGAAUCAUUGGGCGUAAAGCGCACGUAGGCGGCGAAGCAAGUUGGGUGUGAAAGCCCUGGGCUCAACCCAGGAAGUGCAUUCAAAACUGCUUCGCUUGAAUCUCGGAGGGGGUCAGAGAAUUCCCGGUGUAGAGGUGAAAUUCGUAGAUAUCGGGAGGAAUACCAGUGGCGAAGGCGCUGACCUGGACGAAGAUUGACGCUGAGGUGCGAAAGCGCGGGGAGCAAACAGGAUUAGAAACCCGUGUAGUCC
rnacentral:rRNA from 1 species